CUCACCCCUCCUCACCCCUUAGCCCAUAUACCGCCGUCUUCAGUUUACCCAGUGAUGGUCCAACAGUAAUCACAAUUGGCAUAGCCCAGAACGUCAGGUCGAGGUGUGGCUUAUGGAGGGGCAAGAAAUGGGCUACAUUCACUAAUAUAGUGCAUACGAAUGACGCAUUGAAAUUUAUGCGUACUGAAGGAGGAUUUAGUAGUAAGUGGUAACUAGAGUGUACCACUGAAUUGGGCCCUAAAGAACGCACACACCGCCCGUCACUCUCCCCUAAAAUCAACAACUCAAAUAAAUAAUCAACCAACAACCAAAACGGGGAGGUAAGUCGUAACAUGGUAAGUGUACCUGAAGGUGCACUUGGAACAA
rnacentral:rRNA from 1 species